AUUGAACGCUGGCGGCAUGCCUAACACAUGCAAGUCGAACGGUAACGCGAAGAGCUUGCUCUUUGGCGACGAGUGGCGGACGGGUGAGUAAUACUUAGGAGUCUGCCCAGUAGCGGGGGACAACUCGGGGAAAUUCGAGCUAAUACCGCAUACGCCCUACGGGGGAAAGCAGGGGAUCUUCGGACCUUGCACUAUUGGAUGAGCCUAAGUCGGAUUAGCUUGUUGGUGAGGUAAAGGCUCACCAAGGCGACGAUCCGUAGCUGGUCUGAGAGGACGAUCAGCCACACUGGGACUGGGACACGGCCCAG
rnacentral:rRNA from 1 species